rnacentral:rRNA from 1 species
GCAUAUCAAUAAGCGGAGGAAAAGAAACCCAACAGGGAUUGCCCUUAGUAACGGCGAAGUGAAGCGGCAACAGCUCAAAUUUGAAAUCUGGCGCAAGCCCGAGUUGUAAUUUGUAGAGGAUGCUUCUGGGUAGCGGCCGGUCUAAGUUCCUUGGAACAGGACGUCAUAGAGGGUGAGAAUCCCGUAUGUGACUGGCUUGCACCCUCCACGUAGCUCCUUCGACGAGUCGAGUUGUUUGGGAAUGCAGCUCUAAAUGGGAGGUAAAUUUCUUCUAAAGCUAAAUACCGGCCAGAGACCGAUAGCGCACAAGUAGAGUGAUCGAAAGAUGAAAAGCACUUUGGAAAGAGAGUUAAAAAGCACGUGAAAUUGUUGAAAGGGAAGCGCCCGCAACCAGACUUUGCGGCAGUGUUCGGCCGGUCUUCUGACCGGUUUACUCGCUGUCGUGAGGCCAUCAUCGUCUGGGACCGCUGGAUAAGACCUUAGGAAUGUGGCUCCCCUCGGGGAGUGUUAUAGCCUCUGGUGAUGCAGCGCGUCUCGGGCGAGGUCCGCGCUUCGGCAAGGAUGAUGGCGUAAUGGUUGUCGGCGGCCCGUCUUGAAACACGGACCAAGGAGUCUAACAUCUAUGCGAGUGUUCGGGUGUCAAACCCCUACGCGUAAUGAAAGUGAACGGAGGUGGGAACUUUUUGUGCACCAUCGACCGAUCCUGAUGUCCUCGGAUGGAUUUGAGUAAGAGCAUAGCUGUUGGGACCCGAAAGAUGGUGAACUAUGCCUGAAUAGGGUGAAGCCAGAGGAAACUCUGGUGGAGGCUCGCAGCGGUUCUGACGUGCAAAUCGAUCGUCAAAUUUGGGUAAUAGGGGCGAAAGACUAAUCGAACCAUCUAGUAGCUGGUUCCUGCCGAAG